AUGGCUGCUGCGCAUGCCUUCUUCUUCUUCUCCUCGGUCGAACCGGUGCUCCUUUCGGUUUCACCGGUAGCUGGAAAUGGUGGCCGGAGCGGCCGCAACCAUGGCUUCUUCCGCCCUUCGACGGUGAUAUGUCCCGGGCGGGAGCCUGCGUCCCAUGGGCUGUCCGAUGAUUUUGACUUCCAGGUAUAUAUAUUGUUAUGGCUGGUGAACGUACUUAGCACUCAUGUUUGUCUUUUUUAG
rnacentral:rRNA from 1 species